GACCUUUAUAGGCGGCGUUUCUUACACAUGCAAGAUCGAACGGACCCUUUCUGCGUGCAGGGUACUCGAGUGGCGAACGGGUGAGUAACACGUGGGUGAUCUGCCCUGCACUUCGGGAUAAGCCUGGGAAACUGGGUCUAAUACCGGAAAGGAGCCGUUUUUAGUGGGGUGGUGGAAAAGUUUUCUGGGGGUAGAAUAAGCCCCCGGCCUAUCACUUGGUGGGGGGGGAAAGGGCCUACCAAGGACGCACAGGUUACCCGGCGAGAGAGGGUGGACCGGCAUUUUGAGACUUACAUCACCCACACUACUCCUGGAGGAGGCAGGGGUGAAAGAUAUUUGUAUGCUCGCCGGAAGGAUGAUUCCACGACGCCUGGUGGAUGACGACCGUCGGGUAGGUGUUACCUUUCGCUCGCGAAUAAUCAACUGUGUCGUGACCGUACCUAGAUAAGAAGCCCGGGCUAAUACGGGCCAGCAGCGCCGUAAUACGUAGGGUGCGAGCGUUGUCCGAAAUACUGGGGUAAAAGGCUCGUAGUGGUUUGUCGCGUCGUCUGUGAAAUUCCGGGGCUUAACUCCGGGCGUGCAGGCGAUACGGGCAUAACUUGAGUACUGUAGGGGUAACUGGAAUUCCUGGUGUAGCGGUGAAAUGCGCAGAUAUCAGGAGGAACACCGAUGGCGAAGGCAGGUUACUGGGCAGUUACUGACGCUGAGGAGCGAAAGCAUGGGUAGCGAACAGGAUUAGAUACCCUGGUAGUCCAUGCCGUAAACGGUGGGCGCUAGGUGUGAGGGUCUUUUCACGACUUUCGUGCCGUAGCUAACGCAUUAAGCGCCCCGCCUGGGGAGUACGGCCGCAAGGCUAAAACUCAAAGGAAUUGACGGGGGCCCGCACAAGCGGCGGAGCAUGUGGAUUAAUUCGAUGCAACGCGAAGAACCUUACCUGGGCUUGACAUACACUGGAUCGGGCUAGAGAUAGUCUUUCCCUUUGUGGCUGGUGUACAGGUGGUGCAUGGUUGUCGUCAGCUCGUGUCGUGAGAUGUUGGGUUAAGUCCCGCAACGAGCGCAACCCUUGUCUUAUGUUGCCAGCAUUUGGUUGGGGACUCAUGAGAGACUGCCGGGGUCAACUCGGAGGAAGGUGGGGAUGACGUCAAAUCAUCAUGCCCCUUAUGUCCAGGGCUUCACACAUGCUACAAUGGUCGGUACAACGCGCAGCGACACUGUGAGGUGGAGCGAAUCGCUGAAAGCCGGCCUUAGUUCGGAUUGGGGUCUGCAACUCGACCCCAUGAAGUCGGAGUCGCUAGUAAUCGCAGAUCAGCAAUGCUGCGGUGAAUACGUUCCCGGGCCU
rnacentral:rRNA from 1 species